UACGUAGGGUGCGAGCGUUAAUCGGAUUUACUGGGUUUAAAGGGUGCGCAGGCGGUUGUUUAAGUCAGGGGUGAAAGCCCUAUGCUCAACAUAGGGAUUGCCUUUGAUACUGAACGGCUAGAGUGAAGAUGGAGUGGGUGGAAUGUGUUGUGUAGCGGUGAAAUGCGUAGAGAUCAGGAGGAACACCGAUGGCGAAGGCAGCCCCCUGGGCCUGUACUGACGCUCAUGCACGAAAGCGUGGGGAGCAAACAGG
rnacentral:rRNA from 1 species